UACGAAGGGGGCUAGCGUUGCUCGGAAUCACUGGGCGUAAAGCGCACGUAGGCGGAUUGUUAAGUCAGGGGUGAAAUCCUGGAGCUCAACUCCAGAACUGCCUUUGAUACUGGCGAUCUUGAGUCCGGGAGAGGUGAGUGGAACUGCGAGUGUAGAGGUGAAAUUCGUAGAUAUUCGCAAGAACACCAGUGGCGAAGGCGGCUCACUGGCCCGGUACUGACGCUGACGGUGCGAAAGCGUGGGGAGCAAACAGG
rnacentral:rRNA from 1 species